rnacentral:rRNA from 1 species
GAUGAACGCUGGCGGCGUGCCUAAUACAUGCAAGUCGAACGAAGAUGUUCUUGAGUUUACUCGGGAGCUCUUAGUGGCGGACGGGUGAGUAACGCGUUGGUGACCUGCCCUAAAGAAGGGAACAACCUCGGGAAACUGAGGCUAAUACCCUAUGUGCUUCUUAAGAUUAGAUGCUUUUGAAGUAAAGGUUCUGAGGACGAAAGGCCUCAGCGCCGCUUUAGGAGGGGCCUGCGUCCCAUCAGCUAGUUGGUAGGGUAAUGGCCUACCAAGGCAAUGACGGGUAGGGGACCUGAGAGGGUGACCCCCCACACUAGCACUGAAACACGGGCUAGACACCUACGGGUGGCAGCAGUAGGGAAUCUUGCACAAUCGACGAAAGUCUGAUGCAGCAACGCCGCGUGUGCGAUGAAGGCCUUCGGGUUGUAAAGCACUUUUCUGAGGGAAGAGAAAGGACGGUACCUCAGGAAUAAGUCUCGGCUAACUACGUG